UCCAGCCUUUGUUUUGGCGACGGCUCCUUCUGCCGCCGCCGCGUCUGAAGUCCCUGUACAUCUGGGCUCUGAUGUAUGAUCUGUGAUGAGGCCCAUUUAGUAUGUAGGACAGGCUGUUCACGUCUCGCGGCCUCAUGAGGCGAUCAAAUCAAUCAGUUCUCGGGGAGGAAACGCCUUGUCACAUACGUUUCAAACGUGUGGGGAGCGAUCGCCGAGUGGGAGUGUUAAUGAGUGUGAAAUAUGUCCAGUUCUCUGCGGAUACAGCCGCUCGCCGCUUAAUUUACCUGCUGAGGAUAAUUGAGCACUUAGGAGACAAUGGCUUGACAUGUCGAAAAUGAUCAUGUGGAGAGGAGGAGGAGGGAGAGAGAGAGGGAGGGAGAGAGAGAGAGAGAGAGAGAGAGAGAGAGAGAGAGAGGGCUAAUCAGGGAUGAAGAGAGAAGAACUGAUUAAUCAAAUGUAGAAGAAAUUAUUAUAUUUAAUUAUUAAUAUAAUUAUAUAAUUAUUAUUACAUUAUUAUAUGUGGAAAUAUUGAAACUUUAGAGUGUUCAAGAUUCGAUCUGACCCCCUCUGUGACCACAAUCAGGGCUUGAUAGUUCGACUAAAAAUAGAUCUGUGCGAACUGUAAAAGUAUUUAGGGUAACAUGAGUGAAUAAAAAAAAAUCAACAAAUGUUUUUUUUUCCUGUAAAUACGGCGGUGAAGUUAGUUUCAGGUUGGAUAUAUUUUCCUGUAAAUACGGCGGUGAAGUUAGUUUUAGGUUGGGUAUAUUUUCCUGUAAAUACGGCGGUGAAGUUAGUUUUAGGUUGGAUAUAUUUUCCUGUAAAUACGGCGGUGAAGUUAGUUUUAGGUUGGAUAUAUUUUCCUGUAAAUACGGCGGUGAAGUUAGUUUCAGGUUGGAUAUAUUUUCCUGUAAAUACGGCGGUGAAGUUAGUUUCAGGUUGGAUUUAUUUUCCUGUAAAUAUGGGAGGAGGACUUCAGGAAACCGUCGUCAGGUGACACAGUUCAUCUUUACAUCUACACACUCGAACACACAAAGACAAAGACAGAUUGAAGCCUGAAACGGCGCCGGCAUAUCUGGACCCGAGCUCAUCUGAGAUGGACUGACCCAAGUUCAAUAUCACAAAAGUAGACCAGGAUCAGGAGCUAAAACAGCUGAUCCAGACAUCCUCCAAGAAGUGAAACCAUUCUGAGGCGUCUGUGGUCCUACGGUAGGAUCCAGUCUGACGGGGACAAGCAAACACAGUCGGGUUUGAGGGUCCCAAACCGGAGUAUCUUAAAGCAGACCGUGACAGAGAGUUCACCCAGAGUCUGAGGUGUUUCCAUGACCUGCUGCUGUUUCAUGAGCGUCAUCCUCACGCCGGUCUGUGCGAUUGCUUCUGCCUUCUUCACUUCAUGAGCCAAAUGAGCCGACUGCAAACACGCGCCAUUUGUUGGACUGUUGGGUAAUCAGCCAAAGUAAUGAAAGGUACCGAGCUGUGCCGCUCUGUAAAUUUAGAGAACCAAAUUCAGCGCACAGCGGUGUGAACGGAAAAGUAGGCUUGGUUUUAGUAAACGGUGUGUACUCUCAGAUUAGAAAUGAGAUUGAACAGGGAGAAGAAACGUUCAGUUCUCAGCGUCUCUGAUCAGACUCUGCUGAUGGAAUUAAACCCCGUCAGUCUGACUGAUUAGAACUUCAGCAGCUGUUAUUCAACACAGUUUAGGUUGAUGAUUAAAAACAAACGAGGAAAAGGAAACUGAGCUUGUGUCUGACGUCAGUGUCAACGUGACACCUUCAAAAUAAAACAGGAUGUCUGAAGGUUCGAGCAGCAGUCAGAGGUCACAGAGCUAAGAUCAAAUCCACAUCAGAAAUACUUCAUCCAGUCCCCGAUCCGGACCGCUGGAUUUAGGCCUUUCAUGCAGCAGUGACGUUCACUACAGCUGAAGUGGAUAAAAGGACUUUUCUGUGGCGUCUUUAUAAAAGUUCCCGUUAGCUCCUCCCGUUUCCUCGGGCUGCUUGUUCCAAAGUUUAAGAGCUCUCAUUGCUCAGAAAAACGCUUGAUCAUCCCGUCUUUGAUCUCCACUUGGAGACGCAGAAAAGAGCUCUGUUUGAGGACCUAAAACCCACACCUCUAAUUAGAGGAGGAAGAGAGGAGAGCCGGCCCCGAGAGUUCGCUCUGUCCUCCGCUCACUUCAAGAGAAAAGACAUCUAUGUGAUUCUGAGCAAAGAGGAGACAAAGGAGAGGGAGUGAUCGGAACGUGAUCAGACAGGAAGAACGCUUUCAUUAGGAUUACAGUGAUGGGAGGAUAUAAGGCUGAGAGAUAAACUGAAAAUUCACCAAAACACCAAAACUGUCAUGAUAUGUUCUGUUUCUGCUCCCCAUUUUUCCUGUUCUCCUGAAGUCCUGGAUUGUGACACUAAACACAACUCACCUACUCUCUUCCAGCAGACGCUUGUUUGUAGCAAGAUCUCAGGUCAGUCCAUUACGGGCUACAGCGGGGUGCCGCAGCUCAAGGAAGAACAUUUAUGAUCAUUUCUUCAUGGAAAUACAAUCAGACCGAGACGCUAAGACAGAAGAACUACCGCGUCUGUAAAAUAAUUAAUAUGGUGAUUAUUACUUCAAGGAAAUGAUAAAGAAAUGAUUAUAAAUGUUCUUCCUUGAGCUGCGGCACCCCACUGUAGUCUGUAAUGGACUGGCCUGAGGUCUCGCUACAAACAAGCGUCUGCUGGAAGAGAGUAGGUGAGUUGUGUUUAGUCUCUUUGCUAAAGAAAUGAGUCAAAGUUACAAAGAUGUUUGGUGUCUAGUACUAUGGCUGGGACCCUAUAUGUACUAACCUGAGUAGAUCACGGUGUAGGUCUGUUCAAUAACAGAACCUCAUUGGAAAAUUAGCUGAUUUAACUUUACUGUGCUCUUGUUCAGAUAUAUUAACUCGACAGCACAUAAAUCCAUACCUGUUAACAAAAUCAUGAUUUUAUUGAUAAUUCGGCUCAAUAAAAACACCUUUACCUUUUCAUUUUACUACAGUAGAAGUUUAUUGGCCCAGCUUAUAGACGACAGAGGUGGAGAAACGCCCCCGCUUAAGUUUAUGUUUUCUUAGGAGUUAGAACAACUCUGAAUAUAGUACUAUGUUUGUGACCCUAUAUGUCCUGUUGAUGAAGUUAGGUGCUGUUCUGAGCCUUAUUUGUGGCUAUAGAGUGGCGUUUUGGUUGAGGGCGUGGCUCUUUGUAUUACUAUCCUGCGGUCGUUACUAAAGUUGGUAUAACUAGAGAAGCAAGCGGUCGUCAACAUUCAUCUCUGGAGGGGGGGUCUAACUCGGUGUUAAGGUGGGUUUGACUCUAAAUUAAUUUUACGUCAGAAUAUCCCUUUAAAGAGAGUCCGUAACACACCUGCAGGUUUCUCUCUGGGGUCUCUGGUCCAGGUCUGUGUAUUUUUAAGGAGUUUCAACUAUUAGUUUAACUGACUAUUAAACGUAGUAUAAUUAUUUAAAUAUUUAAAUACUUCAAUGAUUCUCAAACUGUUGAAUUCUGUCCCUGAAGUGAAUCAAACUCUCUUACUCGUUAGAUUUUACUCGUUUUCUGUUUAUCUACCAAACUAACUUUUCCAAACUUGUUCCUGAGUUUUCAGAGUGAUCUGACUCUGCAGGAAGGAUGUUUUCCUCCAGAACAGCAGGAACACUUAUUUAUAAAUCAGAGAGCUGGUGAACUGGCUUAGUGACGCACGUUUCAACCUGACAUCCAUCAAAAGUUGGCAAACAUUAGUCACCGCGAGACCGAGGGCUUGGGCAAAAACAAACCCUUAAACUGUUUUAUUAAUUAGACGGAGCUCUUUUUAUGAAAGUGAGAAAGUGUCGGCCAAUUACAGCUUUGAAUUAAAGAUGAAAAAACAGAAAGAGCAGAUUUUUCCAUCGGUACAUCUGCGGGUCGUGUGAGGAUACAGAGGAAGAACACGCUCACACACAGAUAAACACAGAUCUCAGAUGAUCAAUACGGAGUAAAUGAAGAGUUACUGUAAAUCUGUGAUGUGAGUUCCUAUCACACAUGAGUGAUUAUCUGCAGAGUUGUCAAGGAGGAUAAGAGGAUUUCUGAUAAUCUGCUCCUGUAAUUAUGUUUCUUCUUCUGUCAUUAAAAGCCUCAUAGUGAUCAUGGAGCAGUGACGCCUGUUUGCAUACAUACAUAUUAUUAUAUAAAAGCUUCUCGCUCUAAAUGUCGGUGUUUAGUCUGCAGCUGCAGCUCAGACUCCAAAUCUGACUCUUCAACUUUCAUCGCCGCUUUGAAAAACAUUUAUUCAGACACGAGGUUUCCAGCAGAUCAUUAUGGAAACGACAGCGGUCCGAUGAGACGUGAAUGUAUGCACGCUUAAUGAUGUUUUGGACUGAUCCCUUAUGCAAACAGAUUUCAUGUUUUAAUAAGCAGGACACUGUUGCAGAGAUCAGGGUAGAGGAGCUGAAGGCGCAGACGUCUGUGCAGGACGGCCAAUCACAGCCCGGCAAACCUGAACUGUUUACCUCUGAUAUUAAACGACCUCAGACUUUUUAACCAGACUAACAUGGAGGUGAGGAUCUGUGUUUAUGAUGUCAGGUGAGGACGAGGACGGGGAUGGGGACGAGGACGACAUGAGGUCGUCAUGGCGGGCGGCGCAGAAAUCAGCUGUCUGAUUUCAUCAUGUGUCUGACAUGAGUCUCUGCGCUCAUUCAGAUGAUCACAUUUAUUUAUUGAUCGCCUGUGCAGAGGAGAAGCUUAGCUGUGUUCAAACUGAUCUAUAGGAACAACAAAUACAGAAAGGCUUUUAUUUUGAAGGAGGGACUUUAUGUUAUGAUCCAAAUCAUAUUUUCAGCUUUUCUGAGGAAUUAAAAACCAAACUGUCAGACUAAUUCAUGAGCUUCUGGAUCAAUAUUUAGAUUUUAUUGAAUAAUUGUCUGUUGUCAUUGUUAUUGUCAGACACAGACGUCAAUAAAAACACAGUCAGGAGUUUAAAAAGUGGAUUAAAAUGUAAUUAAUUGUCAUAAAGUCAAGACCUCUGCAUUAGUUUGAUGUGGACGAUGGUUGUCAGGAUAUCAGAUUUAUACCGAACGAUUAUUGUUGCUGUUAACGAUGUGACAGAAAACUCAAAAAUACGACAAAAGAAGAGAGAUGACUGAAUAAACAUUGAUAAUAAUUCAACAUCUAUUUCUAAUCAAAGUCAGAUUUAUGAUUUAUUACCAGCCCUGAGACCAAAACAUCAUCAAAGAGCCUCAUUUACCAUCGUUACUGAGGCUUUUAUUUUGAAAUUUAAUAUUUGGAGAAGAUUGUUGGUUACAGAACCGAAUAAAAACAGGAAACAGAACAAUUAGAGCCUCUCCUGUACUCAGAUCCACACCUGCCUCCUCUCUCCUUCUCUCCUUCUCUCCUCUCCUUUUUCUUUCCCUCCUUCCUUCCUCCCACCAACAGAAGGUGUGUUUUUGUUUCUCUCUGGCAGCCGUGGGUUGUUUCUCUCCAGAUUGGAGCUCUGUAAGCUGUGGUCAAAGUCUUAGUCAGGUGAAUUAAAGGAUUUGUCUUCGUAUGUGGAUACAGAAGGAUUAGCUGCAUUCCUGUUUAACCUUUAAAGCUGAAAUUACCACCUGAGUUUUGUGGUUUUGAGGGAGUGAAGGACUUUUUUUCCUCCAUCGUUUCUCCUCUUGAGGUGAAUCCUGCUCCAACAGCUCCUCCUCCUCCUCCUCCUCCUCCUCCUCUCUCCUCCUGACUGUUGUGAAAACAUGCCAAGGCUAUUUUAAGUCCCUCAGCUGACUGAUUAAUCCAGGCAGGUCUAACACCUCAUGGAGUCCUCGGUCACCGUGGCGACAGGUCGCCUCCUGCCUGUGGCAGACGGCUGUACACCAGUGAGUCUGGUCCUGCUCAGAGUUGGUGCUGUACUGGUCCUACUGGGACUCUUAGUUGACUAGUGAUGAGAAAAUAGACGGAAACUUAAACUUGAACACUUUUAAAGUAUUGGUAAAAAAUAUGAAUUAUUGUGUUUUUGGACAUGUUUGUCUUUUCCUGACAUUUCUGUGAUCUUCAGACGUGAAUCUGAACAAGUUACUGGACGAUGAUGAUGAUGAUGAUGAUGAUGAUGAUAAUUGUUGUCUUGAUGUUAGUAAAUGGGUGUUUUUUCAUGCCUCUCCUC